rnacentral:rRNA from 1 species
UACGUAGGCAGCAAGCGUUGUUCGGAAUUACUGGGCGUAAAGAGCUCGUAGGCGGUGUGUCGCGUCGGCCGUGAAAACCUGCAGCUUAACUGUGGGCUUGCGGUCGAUACGGGCAGACUGGAGGUAUGCAGGGGAGAACGGAAUUCCUGGUGUAGCGGUGAAAUGCGCAGAUAUCAGGAGGAACACCGGUGGCGAAGGCGGUUCUCUGGGCAUGUCCUGACGCUGAGGAGCGAAAGUGUGGGGAGCGAACAGG